AGUCACAUGACCGGCCGGAGUCUCAGGCUUCUCCGUCAGUGGGUGCCGAGUACACCAACGAACCGCCAGAGACUACAUAUCCCAGAAUGCCACUGGACCCGGGUCAGGCGUGCCCGCCCUUCCGCCCUAAGGGAGAGGAAUACACAUCCCAGCAUGCUGUGCGCUUCCCGAGGCGGCUAGCGGGACUGGGGACCCGAGGCCUGUGCGGAAGUGGGUUCACCACCCUCGGCAGCUGGGCGGAGAGUGGAGGUUCCUUCUCGUUUUCCGUGGGGGUGUCCGCUCCGGACGGUGCCGGAUGGAGGGGAGCUGACCCAAGUCCGCGGUGGCUCUUGGAUUCCCUGUCCACCCACUUCCCGGUCCGAAGGGAUGGGACCAAAAGGGUCUUGACAACCUGGUUUUAGGUUUACACGUGAGGAGGAAAAUCCACGGGAGUUCAUUGGCCGAAAGCCAUAUGUAUAGUUUGUGGGAGAUCAUAAAUAUUAAUAAUUAAUGCCACCUUGGAUAAAUGUCCUUUUUUUUUCUUUUCUUUUUUUCAGAAGGACCAGUUGAUUUACAUCAGAAUUUGAUAUUGAGAAAUUUUCUCUAAAACUGCACUCGGAAUUAUUUUUUUACUUUACGCUCUUCUCUGAGCAGCAGCUUUUUUAAGGAUUCAAGGAAUCCGGAGAAGUGGCUGUGCAUAAAUUAAUGAAGAGACUAGAGAAGAAAUAUGAAUUUGGAAGGAAUAGGAGAGCCAGACGGAAACUUGGUUCUAGUGACUAAACUCCCUGAAUCUGCGGACCCCUGGCUUUCUAGUCCCACAUUUUGUCCUAUAGCAAAGCAGACGUACAUAUCAAAGGUAAUGUUCGGUAAACAGUAAAGGAGCAUCAGGUUGGGGGGAACUGCCCUCAGCUGUCUGGCAGCGGCAAUAACAUGCAGAUCUUCAGCCCUGCUGAAGGUGUCCAUCAGCCUUCUAUGAACUUCUCACAUUUUAUUAUGCCCAGCUGGAAUUAGCCUCCAGCAGAUUAACAGGAGGAAAAUGUCCAAACCGUGUUACAGAUAUACAUCCAGCGGAUGCCAUAAGAAUAUGAGACCCAAGGAGGCACUGGCAGUUAAGACUGAUAGGCCAUUCUGGACAAAGGAGAGGGAGGCAGAGGUCUGGGAUUUUGAAGGGAAAGCAAGCAAUUUAGAGGUGGAUAGGAAGAGCAAACAUGUAAUAAACUAUGGUGGGGGGUUCCCUUCUCCAUGUCCAGCACGGAGCUGGGGAGAGAGAGACGUGAACUGGUUCUUUUAAGUAGGAGGCACUUUCGGGAUUUGAG